GCAAAUACCUGGCAGGGGAGAUACCAUGAUCACAAAGGUGGCUUUCCCAGGGGGAGGCUCAUCCAUUGCACUCCGGGAGUGCUGACCCCCGCAAUUUCCCCAAAUGUGGGAAACUCGACUGCAUAAUUUGUGGUCACUUAAU
rnacentral:snRNA from 1 species